AUACUACUUCCUCCAUUCGGAAUUACUUGUCUCGAAAAUGAAUGUAUCUAGAAUUAAAAUACAUCUAGAUACAUCUAUUUUCGAGAUAAGUAAUUCCGAACGGAGGGAGUACCUU
rnacentral:pre_miRNA from 1 species